CUCCUACGGGAGGCAGCAGUGGGGAAUAUAGAAAAAUGGGGGAAACUCUGAUGCAGCAACGCCGCGUGAGUGAAGAAGUAUUUCGGUAUGUAAAGCUCUAUCAGCAGGGAAGAAAAUGACGGUACCUGAGUAAGAAGCCCCGGCUAACUACGUGCCAGCAGCCGCGGUAAUACGUAGGGGGCAAGCGUUAUUCGGAUUUACUGGGUGUAAAGGGAGCGUAGACGGCGAUACAAGUCUGAAGUGAAAGCCAGGGGCUCAACCCCGGGACUGCUUUGGAAACUGUGUUGCUGGAGUGCUGGAGAGGG
rnacentral:rRNA from 1 species